rnacentral:rRNA from 1 species
AUUGAACGCUGGCGGCAGGCCUAACACAUGCAAGUCGAACGAGUGGCGGACGGGUGAGUAAUGUCUGGGAAACUGCUCGAUGGAGGGGGAUAAAUACUGGAAAAGGUAGCUAAUACCGCAUACCAUCUGAUGUGAACAGAUGGGAUUAGCUCGUGGGUGGGGUAACGGCUCACCUAGGCGACGAUCCCUAGCUGGGUUGAGAGGAUGACCAGCCACACUGGAACUGAGACACGGUCCAUACUCCUACGGGAGGCAGCAGUGGGGAAUAUUGCACAAUGGGCGCAAGCCUGAUGCAGCCAUGCCGCGUGUAUGAAGAAGGCCUUCGGGUUGUAAAGUACUUUCAGCGAGGAGGCGUUACUCGCAGAAGAAGCACCGGCUAACUCCGUGCCAGCAGCCGCGGUAAUUC